rnacentral:tRNA from 1 species
GGGCCCGUAGCUUAGUCUGGUGGAGCACCAGUCUUAUAAGCUGGAGGUCGGGGAUUCAAAUUCCCCCGGGCCCACCA